rnacentral:rRNA from 1 species
UAGAGUUUGAUCCUGGCUCAGAUUGAACGCUGGCGGCAGGCUUAACACAUGCAAGUCGAGCGGAGAUGAGGUGCUUGCACCUUAUCUUAGCGGCGGACGGGUGAGUAAUGCUUAGGAAUCUGCCUAUUAGUGGGGGACAACAUUCCGAAAGGAAUGCUAAUACCGCAUACGUCCUACGGGAGAAAGCAGGGGAUCUUCGGACCUUGCGCUAAUAGAUGAGCCUAAGUCGGAUUAGCUAGUUGGUGGGGUAAAGGCCUACCAAGGCGACGAUCUGUAGCGGGUCUGAGAGGAUGAUCCGCCACACUGGGACUGAGACACGGCCCAGACUCCUACGGGAGGCAGCAGUGGGGAAUAUUGGACAAUGGGGGGAACCCUGAUCCAGCCAUGCCGCGUGUGUGAAGAAGGCCUUAUGGUUGUAAAGCACUUUAAGCGAGGAGGAGGCUACUGAGACUAAUACUCUUGGAUAGUGGACGUUACUCGCAGAAUAAGCACCGGCUAACUCUGUGCCAGCAGCCGCGGUAAUACAGAGGGUGCGAGCGUUAAUCGGAUUUACUGGGCGUAAAGCGUGCGUAGGCGGCUUUUUAAGUCGGAUGUGAAAUCCCCGAGCUUAACUUGGGAAUUGCAUUCGAUACUGGGAAGCUAGAGUAUGGGAGAGGAUGGUAGAAUUCCAGGUGUAGCGGUGAAAUGCGUAGAGAUCUGGAGGAAUACCGAUGGCGAAGGCAGCCAUCUGGCCUAAUACUGACGCUGAGGUACGAAAGCAUGGGGAGCAAACANGAUUAGAUACCCUGGUAGUCCAUGNCCGUAAACGAUGUCUACUAGCCGUUGGGGGCCUUUGAGGCUUUUAGUGGCGCAGCUAACGCGAUAAGUANACCGCCUGGGGAGUACGGUCGCAAGACUAAAACUCCAAAUGAAUUGACGGGGGCCCCCCA